rnacentral:misc_RNA from 1 species
GAUGAAGAACGCAGCGAAAUGCGAUAAGUAAUGUGAAUUGCAGAAUUCAGUGAAUCAUCGAAUCUUUGAACGCACAUUGCGCCCUCUGGUAUUCCGGGGGGCAUGCCUGUUCGAGCGUCAUUAUAACCACUCAAGCUCUCGCUUGGUAUUGGAGUUCGCGAUCUCGCGGCUCCUAAAAUCAGUGGCGGUGCCUGUCGGCGCUACGCGUAGUAAUACUCCUCGCGAUUGAGUCCGGUAGGUUUACUUGCCAGCAACCCCCAAUUUUUACAGGUUGACCUCGGAUCAGGUAGGGAUACCCGCUGAACUUAAGCAUAUCAAUAAGCGGAGGA